UAGUUCCUCCUCAAAGGCUAUAGAUAAUAUUCUGAGCCAAAUCCUUUGAGCUGUUUUGCAGAUACUGAAACCCCCACCAGGUGGAAGAAAUUAACUGCACGCUGCCCACAAGCACAAAGAGCCAAGACUGGUUGGAACCAGAAGGUUGAUGGUGUUGACUCCCCAUUACCUCACCACCAGCCAAUCAGAAGAAUGUCCAUGAGCUGAUCACGUACCCUGCAACCCUCUCCCUCUCCCUGUCUUUAAAAUACUUUCCCUGAAAGCCUUCGGGUGGAGUUCGGGCUUUUUGAGCACUUGCUACCUGGACUCCUUGCUUGGCGCCCUGUGAUUAACACUGCUCUUUCCUUCACCACAACCUGGUGUCAGUAGAUUGACUUUACUGCAUGUGCAGGCCAGCUGACCCAGGUUUUGGUUCAGUUACACCUUCUCCCUCAUAUUGAUCACCAUUUCACACUUUCACCUUCAGUGAGAUCAAACUCCUUGAGUAUAACAAUGUUGCUGUUCCUGAUAAUAAUAAUAACUGGAUAUGCAAUACUGCCAAUCAGAAUGACAAUAGCUGUGCUUUUUUGAGCACUAACUUCAUCCCAGACCCUCUCCUAAGAACCUUCAUGCGUUGUCAUCCUUGUUUCAUCUUCCUAACCACUUUGUGAGGUAAAUACUAUUGUUAUGCCCGUGUUAGAGCUGAGAAAUAGAGGCUUGAAGAAAUCAGUGACCCUGACUGCAGCCACAUGGCUGGUGGGUGGAGCCUGGGUCUGAGCCCAGGCAGUGUGACUCCUGCAGAUGUGCUUGCGCACAGAUGUCAGCAUUUCCUGUGCCUGGAAGGACGCUGACCGCCAGAGUCUGUAGGAAGAGUGCUUCGGGUUGGAAAAUACAACUGGUCUAAACUGAAUGUGUAUGUUUUUGGAGAGACCUUCUGUCUAAUCUGGUUCCCCAUUGCUUCUUCCUUGAACUCCUUUGAGCCUUUAAUUUAAGGGUUCAGUUGCCGCUGGGCCACUAAAUCAGGUGCGUCAUCCUACUGGCAAUGUACGGCGAGGGGAAAGUAUUCUCCUCUGGAGAGUAAAAACCCAUCUCCCUAUGAUUCCCACUUACCCGUUCCUCUUGCUUAAACCACCACCAACAAGUAGAAACAUCUUUUAAAAGAGAAAGUCUGCUCCUCUGGGGCCCACAGGAAGCAUUUGCAUGUCUAACACUUUCUGUGCAAAGCGGCCCAUGGUAGCAAUGCCCAGAUGUGGUUCCCAAGCUGUUCACGGCACUGCUUUGUGAUUCAUCCUUUCUACACGGUCUCUGGGAGUCCAGUGGGGGCAUCCAAACCUUCCUGUUGUCUAUGUUCGUAAUGGUGGGAGAAUUAAAUGACACGGAAAAUUCUGGAAAUGUGGAGAAAGGGACUAGAACCGCAAGCACCAGGCAGAUGAAGAGAGAGAAGAGUCGUUUAGGAGGUUUGGCAAGGCAUUCUCUGAAAGCACAGCACUGAAAAGGCUAACUUAUUUAAAAUCUGGACUCUUGGUCCUUAGGCCGUGUUGAUAACUUCAGUCACAAAUUAAAGAAGAGUGUGAUAUAUCAGUAGAAAAAUUUGGUCAUGUCUUGCUCUUCACUCAGAGUGCCUCUAUCACCACCGGCUGUGCGGUCCUGAUGCUUGUGUUCUCAUACAGAAGGGAGCCGGAGCAAGUAUGGCAAGGCUGGUUCACUGUCUUUGGUCCUUUGACCUCACUGUGACCCAGCUUCUUCAGGAGAACAUUCUGGAAACAGAGUGAGGGGCUGUGAACGGUGUGCAGUGUUCCCUGAACUACCUCACGGACCUCAUCCACUUCGUCCUGGUCACGCUGGCCCCGCAGCGUGUUCGGCAUGCUGGUCUUCACCUCCGUCCUGUUUGUGCUGUAUUUUUUUAACGCAAGGAAGUGUAAGGUUACAAAUGCCCAUGCUCAGAAGACAGCGAAGAAGAGCACUUCAACCUGAGAGAAACAAAUCAUGGUGACAUACAUCAACCUGAACUGACUGGAUUUUGUCUGUUUACCUCUGAAACAGAUUGAUGUGCAGCUGUUCUGGAAAUGCAGAUGGCAACUGGGAAGGGUACCUCAAGAUAAUUGGCCCUUGCCGUACAGACAAACUCAAGCAGGGGGCUUUCUAGCCGUGGUUGCAUAGUCCCAGAUAAGUCACAAUUUUAUAACAAAAUAUCAGAAUCAGAACUUUUCAGUUUAUGAACACAAGGUAAAUUUUGGAAAGGCAAUCCUUAUGAGUACAAAAUUAAAAUAAGCCUUUCAUACACAUCUCUGGCU